CCUACGGGAGGCAGCAGUGAGGAAUAUUGGUCAAUGGGCGCGAGCCUGAACCAGCCAAGUCGCGUGAGGGAAGACGGCCCUACGGGUUGUAAACCUCUUUUGCCGGGGAGCAACGGGCGCCACGUGUGGCGCCACUGAGAGUACCCGGAGAAAAAGCAUCGGCUAACUCCGUGCCAGCAGCCGCGGUAAUACGGAGGAUGCGAGCGUUAUCCGGAUUUAUUGGGUUUAAAGGGUGCGUAGGCGGAGCGUUAAGUCAGUGGUCAAAUUGAGGGGCUCAACCCCUUCCCGCCAUUGAAACUGUUUCCCUUGAGUGUCGGAGAGGUAAUCGGAAUUCCUUGUGUAGCGGUGAAAUGCGUAGAUAUAAGGAAGAACACCAGUGGCGAAGGCGGAUUACUGGACGAUAACUGACGGUGAGGCGCGAAAGCGUGGGGAGCAAACAGGAUUAGAUACCCCAGUAGUC
rnacentral:rRNA from 1 species